AUCUAAAUAGCUUAAUUUUAAAGCGUAAUAUUGAAGAUAUUAAUAUAAGUGAAUACUUUUUAGGUA
rnacentral:tRNA from 1 species